GACGAACGCUGGCGGCGUGCUUAACACAUGCGAGUCGAACGGAAAGGCCCUGCUCUUGUGGGGUGCUCGAGUGGCGAACGGGGGAGUAACACGUGAGUAACCUGCCCUUGACUUUGGGAUAACUUCAGGAAACUGGGGCUAAUACCGGAUAGGAGCUCCUGCUGCACGGUGGGGGUUGGAAAGUUUCGGCGGUUGGGGAUGGACUCGCGGCUUAUCAGCUUGUUGGUGGGGUAGUGGCUUACCAAGGCUUUGACGGGUAGCCGGCCUGAGAGGGUGACCGGCCACAUUGGGACUGAGAUACGGCCCAGACUCCUACGGGAGGCAGCAGUGGGGAAUAUUGCACAAUGGGCGGAAGCCUGAUGCAGCAACGCCGCGUGCGGGAUGACGGCCUUCGGGUUGUAAACCGCUUUCGCCUGUGACGAAGCGUGAGUGACGGUAAUGGGUAAAGAAGCACCGGCUAACUACGUG
rnacentral:rRNA from 1 species